rnacentral:misc_RNA from 1 species
GAACUGCGAUAAGUAAUGUGAAUUGCAGAAUUCAGUGAAUCAUCGAGUCUUUGAACGCACAUUGCGCCCCCUGGCAUUCCGGGGGGCAUGCCUGUCCGAGCGUCAUUGCUGCCCUUCAAGCCCGGCUUGUGUGUUGGGUCGUCGUUCCCUCCGGGGGACGGGCCCGAAAGGCAGCGGCGGCACCGCGUCCGGUCCUCGAGCGUAUGGGGCUUUGUCACCCGCUCGAUAAGGACCGGCCGGGCGCCAGCCGGCGUCUCCAACCUUUUUUUCUCAGGUUGACCUCGGAUCAGGUAGGGAUACCCGCUGAACUUAAGC